GCAAAAACUCUGCACCGCCCUUCCUCCGCGAGAUCGUUCGCAGAACAGCCCCCGAAAUCUGGAAGGUAGCAAUGGAAACCGUGUAAUUGCUGGAGUAGAUAUACAGAAGUUCUUCGGCACAGUGUUAAGAGGGUCCCUGAGGAUCCUGGGCCGCUAAUCAGCUUUGUCCCAUGGUGCAACCUGAACUUCAGAUUUUUCCCUGCCUGACACUCCCUUUUGCACUGUGAGGGCGAUCAGGAGUGAUUCGCUUGGCAUCACAAUCUGAUAGAGGCUAUGGAUGGUGUCCCACUCCGUCUCCCAAAUCAAAGCCCUGCGCUCUGAAGGGAUGUGGAGGAGCAGGUCUGUACGGGAGGCACCAGCAAGCGAUGCUCCAGAGAAUCUCCAUCUGGUGAAACUUUGUGAUCUCGUCGUGUUAAACAUUGAUGGGUGGAGGGUGGAUGUGACAUCAUCUGUUACCAGUAAAUGGCAUUCAUUGACAUGCA